GUUGUAGCCCUUGAUCAUCUUAAGAACUAUAUAUACAUAGAAGCGGACAAAGAAGCUCACGUGAGGGAGGCGUGCAAGGGUAUGCGCAAUAUAUAUGCCUCUGCGAAAAUAAUGCUGGUCCCCAUAAAGGAGAUGACUGAUGUCCUUUCAGUUGAAAGCAAAGCGGUUGAUCUUGCCAGGGAUACUUGGGUCAGAAUGAAGAUGGGAACUUACAAGGGAGACCUUGCAAAGGUUAUGGAUGUAGAUAAUGUGAGACAGAAAGUCGUCGUGAAAUUAAUCCCAAGGAUUGAUUUACAGGCUCUUGCGAACAAGUUGGAAGGGAGGGAAGCUCCAAAGAAAAAGGCAUUUAUUCCUCCACCACGCUUUAUGAAUAUCGAUGAAGCUAGAGAGAUGAACCUACGUGUGGAACGUAGGCGAGACCCGAUGUCAGGUGACUAUUUUGAGAAUAUUGGAGGUAUGAUGUUCAAAGAUGGUUUCUUGUAUAAGACAGUGUCAAUGAAAUCAAUCAGGACCCUGAAUAUACAGCCAACUUUUGAUGAACUUGAG
rnacentral:misc_RNA from 1 species